GCUGGGCAUGGUGGCGCAUGCCUGUAAUCCCAGCUACUCGGGAAGCUGAGGCGGGAGAAUUACUUGAACCCAGGAGGCAGAGAUUGCAGUGAGCCAAGAUCGAGCCACUGCACUCCAGCCUGGACGACAGAGAGAGACUCCGUCUCAA
rnacentral:sRNA from 1 species